GACGAACGCUGGCGGCGUGCUUAACACAUGCAAGUCGAACGGAAAGGCCUCUUUCGGGGGGUACUCGAGUGGCGAACGGGUGAGUAACACGUGAGUAACCUGCCCUUGACUUUGGGAUAACUUCAGGAAACUGGGGCUAAUACCGGAUAGGAGCUCCUGCUGCAUGGGGGGGGUUGGAAAGUUUCGGCGGUUGGGGAUGGACUCGCGGCUUAUCAGCUUGUUGGUGGGGUAGUGGCUGACCAAGGCUUUGACGGGUAGCCGGCCUGAGAGGGUGACCGGCCACAUUGGGACUGAGAUGCGGCCCAGACUCCUACGGGCGGCAGCAGUGGGGAAUAUUGCACAAUGGGUGGAAGCCUGAUGCAGCAACGCCGUGUGCGGGAUGACGGCCUUCGGGUUGUAAACCGCUUUCGCUCAUGACGAAGCUUUGUGUGACGGUAGUGGGUAAAGAAGCACCGGCUAACUACGUG
rnacentral:rRNA from 1 species